rnacentral:rRNA from 1 species
CCUACGGGAGGCAGCAGUGGGGGAUAUUGCACAAUGGAGGAAACUCUGAUGCAGCGACGCCGCGUGAGGGAAGACGGUCUUCGGAUUGUAAACCUCUGUCUUUGGGGAAGAAAAUGACGGUACCCGAAGAGGAAGCUCCGGCUAACUACGUGCCAGCGGCCGCGGUAAUACGUAGGGGGCGAGCGUUAUCCGGAAUUACUGGGUGUAAAGGGGGCGUAGGCGGGAGUGAAAGUUGAAGGGUAAAUCUACCGGCUGAACUCGUAGCUGCGUUUAAGACUUCUUGUCUUGAGUGCAUGAGAGGCAGGCGGAAUUCUUAGUGUAGCGGUGAAAUGCGUAGAGAUUAGGAGGAACACCAGUGGCGAAGGCGGCCUGCUGGGCUGUAACUGACGCUGAGGCUCGAAAGCGUGGGGAGCAAACAGGAUUAGAUACCCGGGUAGUC